ACCCCAUCCUGAUAUUUCAAACAAGUGUACAGCAGAAUAACAAUCUUGGUGAUGUCUUUUCUUCUCUUUCAACUAGAAAAGGCUGUACAGAGUGGGAGCUUGUUAAUUUGGAUGGAGAUGUUACAUCUUAGCUUAAUUUUGUCCCACUGGAUAUCAAGGCAUUAAAUGGAUGCUCAACAACAUCAUCUCAUAAGAUGGUGCUCCAUAUUGGCAGUCCCAUGGAUGGCAGAGUAUUAAUGGACUUCAAGUAAUGUGCUGAAGUGUGGAGAGCUGCAAAAUAUAGGACUUCAAUUAGAUGGAAAGCUAGGAAGAGCAAGUGUAAGCGCAAAUCAACCUGAGGCUCUCAUGAAUUUUGGAUAGAAGAAGAAGAUCAAGGAGGCGUUUCUUAGUUUCAUACUGGGACAAAGGACCUGGCUGGGGAUUUCUUUCCCAGAGAAGCUGGAAUUUCCUGCAGUGAAUACAGGGAGGAGAAAAAGGAGAUAAAAAAGCGGUCAGCCUGAACUAGCACCUGAAAGGGAGACUGAAACAGAAAUGGUGCCGAACCUGUAAGUAAGAGCCUCAAAGCAAAUAUUUUUGUCUCAAAUUGCACGUUGUCAGCAUCCCAAAAUUGCAAAUGAUCUUCCCCCUCUCAAUCUGCUGCUAGUCUAGCUGUGCAGAUAAACUUACACUGAACUCACUAUUUACCAGCAUCUCCACCAGGGAGAUUCUGUGAGCUGUCCUGGGCAUGUGGUGAAGUAGCUGAGGUAGUAUUUCAGAUGCUCUCUGAGACUUUUUCAGAUCUUACUGAGUGUGAAGCAGGGCUUAAAAAGAUGUUUUUGCCAGGUCACUAUUUUGCACUGGAGAGUCACUGUAUGCAGUAUUGCCCUCAGAGGAAGCCUUUUCUCAUAGAGACCCUAUGGGCAUCACGAAGUUUAACCUUCUGUCUGCUAUCAGAAAUCCCUACCAUGUUUUGCAGUGCGAGGAGGAGAAGGGAAAACAUUUGCUGGAUUGCUGUUCUUGUUCUAGUCUUGUUGAAUAUCUCUUACUGUCCAGAAAGAGUGAUAUGUCAAAGUCAGACUGGUGGAAAUUUGGGAGCGUUUGUGUGCAUUCCUUGCUGCUUCAGGCUGGAAGAACACCCGGUCUGUGUGAAGGGGAAGGAGUGAAUGUUUUCUCUUUCAUCACUGUUUUGGAAGGGCAGUUCCCAUCAUCCACAGCAAACCUGGAGAGGUGGUUCUAUGCAUAUGCAUGUGAAGAUACCAGGUCAGCUGAUGAAGCACUGUUGGAGGGACACUGAGCCCAGAGGGCAUCCAGGCUCAGUACUAUUCUCCAGCAUGCAGUGGACACCGGCCAAAUUCAUGGAAUAUGAAUAUUAUGUAUAAAAUUGUUGAACUUAAAUGAUCCUUGCUUGCUCACUAUUAAAUCUCUCUUACAUGAACAUGAAUGUGCACAUGAACAUAAUUGGGAGUCUCCUGUAGUGAGUCUGGCCCUCGAUGUCCGCUGGUGUCCACUGCUCAGACCUCUUUACUCACCAGCUGCUCUGUCCUGCAGCUCUUUUGCGUAGACUUACACAGGCCAGAGAGCACCCUCAGCCAUGAUAACCUCUGGGAAUGAAGUGUACCUGCAGCAGCCUGCAGUGGCCAGGCACACACCCUGGCUGCUUCCAUCCACCCUCCACUCCUUUCUCAAGUUAUUGCUCCUCUCUGAUCCACUCUGAUACCCGGCCUUUCCUUAAACAUCACACAAUAAGUUUAUUGCAUCUGCACAAUUCGCCUCAAAUAUACCAUAUUUUUUCUCUUGUCCUUGAGGCCCAUUAUAGUCUUGUUUCCACCUUCUUACCAGUUACAAAGUUUUGGCAGAAGCUCCUCAGAGCUUUGAGUAGUUCCUGCAGUAUCUCAUUAGCCAGCGGUGUGAGAGUUCUGGUCUUUGGUACAGACUUUGCUUCCUUCUGUUCAUUUGGGCUUCUGUUCUUGAAUUUUGAAUUUAUUGCUUCUAUUCCUGUCUUUUGUGCUAGUCUUCUAUGCUCAACAUCCCACAGUACAAUAAGCUAAUGAACCUAAUACCCUUUCAGUCCUCACAAGUGUACUUUGCAGUCUUCUUCAACAGAAGUUCAGAGCAUCUUGCUGGAUCCGGAAAUGUUUUUGUUUAAUGGUUUUGUUUAAUUUUACUCGUGUGAAUUUUGGAGUAAAAAUACAUGCAAACUUUCUAGAACAGCCCAGCAACUCUAAAUACCAAGAACUCAAGUUAAUGGAGAGGAAGAAAGCCAAGCACAGACUUGUAUGAAGGCUCAUUAAAUUACAAAUCACUGAAUGACUUGAAAUGAGAUUAAAAUGUGGGUUCUCUAGUCUAUUUUAAGAUGUUUUACUAUUAUGUUUUUUUAUUAUGUAAAAGUUAAGCUAGUCAUUUAUAAAAUCAUCUAAAUGCACC